rnacentral:rRNA from 1 species
UACGUAGGGUGCGAGCGUUAAUCGGAAUUACUGGGCGUAAAGCGUGCGCAGGCGGUGAUGUAAGACAGAUGUGAAAUCCCCGGGCUCAACCUGGGAACUGCAUUUGUGACUGCAUCGCUGGAGUGCGGCAGAGGGGGAUGGAAUUCCGCGUGUAGCAGUGAAAUGCGUAGAUAUGCGGAGGAACACCGAUGGCGAAGGCAAUCCCCUGGGCCUGCACUGACGCUCAUGCACGAAAGCGUGGGGAGCGAACAGG